rnacentral:rRNA from 1 species
GACGAACGCUGGCGGCGUGCUUAACACAUGCAAGUCGAACGGAAAGGCCUGCUUUCCCUUGUGGAUUGCGGGUGCUCGAGUGGCGAACGGGUGAGUAACACGUGAGUGAUCUGCCCCCAACUUGGGUAUAAGCCCGGGAAACUGGGUCUAAUUCCCGAUAGGACUGCAGGGUGGUGCCUGUGGUGGAAAACGAUUUUCUAGUGGUUGGGGAUGAGCUCGCGGCCUAUCAGCUUGUUGGUGGGGUAAUGGCCUACCAAGGCGGCGACGGGUAGCCGGCCUGGGAGGGUGGACGGCCACAUUGGGACUGAGAUACGGCCCAGACUCCUACGGGAGGCAGCAGUGGGGAAUAUUGCACAAUGGGCGGAAGCCUGAGGCGGCGACGCCGCGUGGGGGAUGACGGCCUUCGGGUUGUAAACUCCUUUCGACCGCGAGGAAGCCACCUGGUUGGAAGGGUGGUGACGGUAGUGGUAGAAGAAGCACCGGCUAACUACGUG